rnacentral:misc_RNA from 1 species
UCCGUGUUCACCACGGCAGUCUCCUUAGAGAGCCCAACUGAAUGCUGGCAACCAAGGACAAGGGUUGCGCUCGUUGCGGGACUUAACCCAACAUGUCACCACACGAGCUGACGACAGCCAUGCAGCACCUGUCACUCUGUCGUAUUGCUACGAAGGCCGUAUCUCUACGGAUGUCAGAGGAUGUCAAACCCAGGUAAGGUUCUUCGCGUUGCCUCGAAUUAAGCCACAUGCUCCGCCGCUUGUGCGGGCCCCCGUCAAUUCCUUUGAGUUUUAGCCUUGCGGCCGUACUCCCCAGGCGGGGUACUUAGUGCGUUAGCGACGGCACGGGAGGAGUCGACACCUCCCACACCUAGUGCCCAUCGUUUACGGCGUGGACUAC